rnacentral:lncRNA from 1 species
CUAUCCCCAGCUCCCUGGACGAGGCUCCUUCUGGCCCUUUCUAGAAAGUUAUUCUCUUGGUUCUGCCUCCCUGGUGCCUCCUCUCAUCUCUCGCUGUCUUCCUCCUCCCUUCCUAGGAUCUGACCUGUGUCCCCAGUCAGACAAUGUCAGACGCCUUUAGGACCCCAGGUGGUGAUUCAGUUCUGUGCACACCCUUCUGUGCCUGCAGCGACAGGUGUCCUGCCAGUGAAUGUCACACCUCAGACUCCCGAGAGAUGGUCCUGCACCGGGAAAUGAAGUUAUCAACUUGGCAACUUAUUUUAUUACCAGUGUUCUUGCUGGAGUCCCAGGAUCUCAGCGCUUCCCCACACCUGGCUCCGUGUUCAGGCCAGCUUCUGAGCUAGGGGUCCUGUCUGCUCUCCUCCCUCUCCUCCCCUCUCUCCUCUCUGCGUGCAUGACAGCAUCACUCUCUUUUCCCUUCUUUCCCUCUUUCCUCCCUGUGUCUGUUUGUCUCUCUCUCUCCCUCCUCCCUCCAGGUUAAUCAGAGAGCUAUGAAUCAGACAGAUGUAAGCGAGAGGCUCCCUGUGUCCACCCUUAGGCCCAGAGCGGGAGUGGGGGGCUCCCCCAUCUCUCCCCAGCCCACUGCAGAGCAGACCUCCCCGCAAUUGUAGCCAAUCACAAAAUAAGCCCCUGGUUGUUUCCAAGCGAGCUCUGCACAGCAUUCCAUUAUGACAUUCUGAAAACCUGGUUACUUAUAAAGCAAUUUGCUCCUGCGGGC